GAAAAGCCGCCGCGAAGCAAACGAUGGGAGAGUCCAUGCCACCGCUAAUCAUCGCGCUUCACCGUCUCAGCGCCCGACGCAAAAUGGACAGGCGGCCGCGGCGAAGGACGACAGACACAGUGGCCGCCUUCAUACCAUCAAUCUGCGAAAGAAGAGUCUCGAUGAUGGGCGGGUGUUACCGUCGUGCCUGUAACUGCCAAUAACCACUCGCUGUGGUCACAGGGGCAGAAGGGACCACAUAUGGAGUGUAAUAAGACCCCCUGAGAGAGGCCGCUGGAUACAGUGCCUGAAUGCAGCUGCAGCUUGUGCAGUUUCUCUCUUGGCAUUUUCCCACUGCCACCAUGAACCGAGCCGUACCCGACCCAUACUGGGAAGAGACGGUUUUCCAUUGUAAAGUAUGCAAGCUGUACCCAAGCCGCACCUGACCCAUAACCACACUGACAUGAUCCUGCUUACUAGCAGGGG